rnacentral:rRNA from 1 species
AACGAACGUUGGCGGCGUGGAUGAGGCAUGCAAGUCGAGCGAGAAAACUCCCUUCGGGGGGCGAGUAAAGCGGCGGACGGGUGAGUAACACGUAAUCAAGCUACCCCCAAGACCGGGACAACAGCGGGAAACUGCUGCUAAUACCGGAUGGUCCUCGGAGAUCUCAUGAUCUCUUAGGUAAACGGUUGGGAUCCUUCGGGACCUUCUGCUUGGGGAGGCGAUUGCGGCUUAUCAGCUUGUUGGUGAGGUAAUGGCUCACCAAGGCUACGACGGGUAGCAGGCCUGAGAGGGUGGUCUGUCACACUGGGACUGAGACACUGCCCAG